UGCUAAGCUUUGAUUUUCUGUCCCUUAAC
rnacentral:piRNA from 1 species